UUAAAAAAUGCAGAUCAUUUUAAUUCUGUUCCCUGCGUUAGAAAAACAAAAACAAAAAACACAGCAAUAUGCCAUUUGUCCACAUAUUUACACUGUACAUGGUCAUUGUACAACCUAUUUACAAAACUGUAUAAUUACACAUAAAUAUAUAAUAUAAAAAAGGUUAUUUUAGCAAGACCUCUAGCCCUGCAGUUUUAUAGUGUAAUGUGACCAAACACACUGUUUAUAUAAAAAUAUAUUCCAACUGAAAAGACGACAAAAAAAAAAAAAAAAAAAAACCUUUU